rnacentral:rRNA from 1 species
UCGGUGGCUAUGGCACAAGGGUCACACCCGACCCCAUCCCGAACUCGGAAGUUAAGCCUUGUCGCGCCGAUGGUACUGCACGGGAAGCUGUGUGGGAGAGUAGGUCGCUGCCG